GAUGAAGAACGCAGCGAAAUGCGAUAAGUAAUGUGAAUUGCAGAAUUCAGUGAAUCAUCGAGUCUUUGAACGCACAUUGCGCCCCCUGGUAUUCCGGGGGGCAUGCCUGUCCGAGCGUCAUUGCUGCCCCCAAGCACGGCUUGUGUGUUGGGCCUCCGUCCUCCUCCCGGGGGACGGGCCCGAAAGGCAGCGGCGGCACCGCGUCCGGUCCUCGAGCGUAUGGGGCUUCGUCACCCGCUCUUGUAGGCCCGGCCGGCGCUUGCCGACACAUCAAUCUUUUUUCCAGGUUGACCUCGGAUCAGGUAGGGAUACCCGCUGAACUUAAGCAUAUCAAUAAGCGGAGGA
rnacentral:misc_RNA from 1 species